UGGGGAAUAUUGGACAAUGGGGGGAACCCUGAUCCAGCGAUGCCGCGUGUGUGAAGAAGGCCUGAGGGUUGUAAAGCACUUUCGGUGGGGAGAAAUGUUUAUUGUGUUAAGAGCGUGAUAGAUUGAUGUUACCCACAGAAGAAGCACCGGCUAACUCCGUGCCAGCAGCCGCGGUAAUACGGGGGGUGCGAGCGUUAAUCGGAAUUACUGGGCGUAAAGGGUGCGUAGGUUGUUGAUUAAGUUAAUAUUUAAAUAACUGGGCUUAACCUGGUAGUGGUAUUAAGACUGAUUAACUAGAGUAUAGGAGAGGGUAGUGGAAUUUCCGGUGUAGCGGUGAAAUGCGUAGAGAUCGGAAGGAACACCAGUGGCGAAGGCGGCUACCUGGCCAGAUACUGACACUGAGGCACGAAAGCGUGGGGAGCAAACAGG
rnacentral:rRNA from 1 species